rnacentral:Y_RNA from 1 species
CAUUUGUCUGCGUGCAGUGGUUUUUACAACUAAUUGAUCACAACCAGUUACAGAUUCCUUUGUUCCUUCUCCACUCUCACUGCUUCACUUGACCAGCCUUAA